UGGGGAAUAUUGGACAAUGGGCGCAAGCCUGAUCCAGCAAUGCCGCGUGUGUGAAGAAGGCCUUCGGGUUGUAAAGCACUUUUAUCAGGAGCGAAACGCUGUCGGCUAAUACCCGGCGGAACUGACGGUACCUGAGGAAUAAGCACCGGCUAACUUCGUGCCAGCAGCCGCGGUAAUACGAAGGGUGCAAGCGUUAAUCGGAAUUACUGGGCGUAAAGCGUGCGUAGGCGGUUUCUUAAGUCUGCUGAUGCAAUGCGCGGCUCAACCGUGGGAAUGGCAGUGGAUACUGGGAGGCUAGAGUGUGUCAGAGGGUGGUGGAAUUCCNGUGUAGCGGUGAAAUGCGUAGAGAUCGGGAGGAACAUCAGUGGCGAAGGCGGCCACCUGGGACAACACUGACGCUGAGGCACGAAAGCGUGGGGAGCAAACAGGAUUAGAUACCCUGGUAGUCCACGCCCCUAAACGAUGCGAACUGGAUGUUGGUCUCAACUCGGAGAUCAGUGUCGAAGCUAACGCGUUAAGUUCGCCGCCUGGGGAGUACGGUCGCAAGACUGAAACUUAAAGGAA
rnacentral:rRNA from 1 species